AGGAGGAGGAGCGCAAUGACGCGAAGCGGCAUUUUUGAAAUGCGCUCCGACGAGCUGCCUCGACCCGAACGGGUCGUGGCGAUACCUUAA
rnacentral:sRNA from 12 species